AUAUGGCAGUUGGAUGACUUCUCGACUGUUUAAAAAAAAUAUUGUAAAUGUUUUGUUAAUUGAGUCUGACAUGCCAUUUAAGAGGGUAUUUUUCUAAGCUAGAAGGUGGCUACCUUAUGUGUUCAGCAGGUUUUAUUCAUUUAUCAAGCAAAUUGAAUUCAGCAUGUUUCUCACAUAGCAAGAUAGGGCAUAUAAUGUUUUUUACUUUUUAGGGUGGCAGGCUUCUCUUUGGGUUGAUUUAUUCCAUUAUUCUAGUCUAUAGCUCUUUUCAUGUGCUGAAUCUCUCAAAAGACUGCUUUUAUAGCAUCUCAUCUUUUCCGUGACUGUUAUGUUUUGAAGGCUAAGAUAUUGCUAGCUACUUUGAGAUUUAUUUAUAUAUCUUUUCCAUAGUCAUGUAUAAUUGUCUAUCAUUGGUUACUGAUUGCAGGGCAGAACAUUAGAAAGCUAGUG
rnacentral:misc_RNA from 1 species